rnacentral:rRNA from 1 species
GACAGAGGCCUCAAGCGUUAGGCGGAAUCACUGGGCUUAAAGCGUGUGUAGGCGGAUCGUUAAGUGUCUUGUGAAAUCCCACGGCUCACCCGUGGAACUGCUCGGUAUACUGGGUGUCUUGAGCCACUUAGGGGCUACCGGAACAAAUGGUGGAGCGGUGAAAUGCGUAGAUAUCAUUUGGAACGCCAAUGGUGAAAACAGGUAGCUGGGAGUGUGCUGACGCUGAGACACGAAAGCCAGGGGAGCAAACGGG